GACGAACGCUGGCGGCGUGCCUAAUACAUGCAAGUCGUGCGGACCUUUUAAAAGCUUGCUUUUAAAAGGUUAGCGGCGGACGGGUGAGUAACACGUGGGCAACCUUCCUGUAAGACUGGGAUAACGCCGGGAAACCGGGGCUAAUACCGGAUCGUUUUUCCUCCGCAUGGAGGAAAAAGGAAAGGCGGCUUCGGCUGCCACUUACAGCUGGUCCCGCGGCGCAUUAGCUAGUUGGCGGGGUAACGGCCCACCAAGGCAACGAUGCGUAGCCGACCUGAGAGGGUGAUCGGCAACAUUGGGACUGAGACACGGCCCAAACUCCUACGGGAGGCAGCAGUAGGGAAUCUUCCGCAAUGGACGAAAGUCUGACGGAGCAACGCCGCGUGAGUGAAGAAGGCCUUCGGGUCGUAAAACUCUGUUGCCGGGGAAGAACAAGUGCCGUUCGAACAGGGCGGCGCCUUGACGGUACCCGGACAGAAAGCCACGGCUAACUACGUG
rnacentral:rRNA from 1 species